GCGGGUACGGCCGCGGCCAUGCAGGUCUCCAGCCUCAACGAGGUGAAGAUCUACAGCCUGAGCGCCGGCAGGAGCCUCCCGGAGUGGCUCUCAGACAGGAAGAAAAGAGCUUUACAGAAGAAAGAUGUGGAUAUCCGUAGAAGAAUUGAACUUAUUCAAGACUUUGAAAUGCCCACGGUUAGCACAAAGAUUAAGGUAUCAAGAGAUGGACAGUAUAUUAUGGCAGUUGGAACUUACAAGCCAAGGAUCCGCUGUUUUGAUACCUAUCAGUUAUCCCAGAAAUUUGAAAGAUGUUUAGAUUCUGAAGUGGUUACGUUUGAGAUUUUAUCAGAUGAUUACUCAAAGAUUGUCUUCUUGCAGUGUGGUAGGUUUGUGGAGUUUCAUUCGCAACACGGCCAUUACUACAAGACAAGAAUACCAAAAUUUGGUAGAGAUUUCUCUUAUCACUAUCCAUCGUGUGACCUGUAUUUUGUAGGAGCAAGUUCUGAAGUAUACAGGCUAAAUCUGGAACAAGGAAGGUUUCUCAACUCCCUGCAAAGUGAUGCUUCAGAGAGUAAUGCCUGUGACAUAAAUCCUGUACACUUCUUGUUUGCUAUGGGAACGGCUGAGGGUAAAGUGGAAUGCUGGGAUCCGAGAACUAGAAAUCGCGUUGGGCUGUUGGACUGUGCUUUAAGCAGUGUGACAGCAGACACAGAGAUAGAUGGUUUACCGUCCGUUUCGGCACUGAAAUUUGAUGGAGCUUUGAAUAUGGCUGUUGGAACAUCUACUGGGCAGGUUUUAUUAUAUGAUCUCCGGUCUAGUAAUCCAUUAAUAGUCAAAGAUCACCACUAUGGCUUGCCUAUUAAGUCAAUUCAGUUUCAGCAUCAGUUGGAUUUAAUUAUCUCUGCAGAUUGUCGAAUCAUAAAAAUGUGGAACAAAGAUACGGGGAAGAUAUUUACUUCAAUGGAGCCAGAAUAUGGUAUCAAUGAUGUCUGCCUGUAUCCAAAUUCAGGAAUGCUAAUGACUGCCAAUGAAGCCCCUAAAAUGAAUAUCUAUUAUAUACCAGUUUUAGGACCUGCCCCAAAAUGGUGUUCCUUCUUGGACAACUUGACUGAAGAACUGGAAGAGAAUCCAGAGACCACAGUUUAUGAUGAUUACAAAUUCGUUACCAGACAAGACCUUGAAAAUUUAGGCCUUGCUCAUCUCAUUGGAUCGUCAUUGCUCAGAGCGUAUAUGCAUGGCUUUUUCAUGGACAUAAGACUUUAUCAUAAGGCAAAAAUGAUGGCCAACCCCUUUGCCUACGAAGAAUACAGAAGAGAGAAAAUAAGGCAGAAGAUAGAAGAAACACGUGCACAGAGAGUUCAAAUAAAGAAACUUCCGAAAGUCAAUAAAGAGCUUGCACUCAAACUGAUUGAAGAAGAAGGAGAAGAGCAACAGGUUACUAGAAAAAGGAAACAGAAGAAUCUGCCUAGCCUUCUCAAAGAUGAUCGUUUUAAGGUUAUGUUUGAGAAUCCAGAUUUCCAGGUGGAUGAGCAGAGUGAAGAAUUUAGGCUACUUAACCCACUUGUUUCUAAAAUAAGUGAGAAAAGAAAGAGGAAACUAAAGCUCUUAGAGGAACUGGAAGCACAAGAACAGGAAGAGGAGGAAGAACCAGAAGGAAAAGCAAGCGAUGCAGAAAGUUCUGAGAGUUCAGAUGAUGAAAAAGGCUGGGUUGAAGAGGUCAGGAAACAGCGCAAGCUUCUACGCCAAGAGGAAAAAGUAAAGCGGCAGGAAAGGUUCAAGGAGGAUCAGCAAACAUCACUGAAACCUCAGUUUUUUGAGAUUAAAGAAGGAGAGGAAUUCAGAAGCUUCAAAGACUCUGCCAAAAAACAAAAAUUAAUGAAGAAAACUCUUGGAGAUCGUUUAAAGCUUGAAGAAAAACUUGGCACGCUCAAUGUGUGUGAUACCACAGUAGGCAGCAAACAGGCAACAUUCAAAUUAAAGAAGUCAGAGCAGCAAAAGAAACAGCAGGAAGCUGAGAAACAGCAUCGUCAAGAGAGGAAAACUCUUCGGCGUUCUGCUAGUCAUCUCAAGAGCAAACGUGGAAGAGGACGACCGUUUCAUUGAUUUAUUUUAUAUUAUUUUUUUAAGAAACUUCCUUUAUCUCAUUUUUCAUUUGAAAAAGGGACUUUUUCAUUUGAAAAAGGGACUUUUUCAAAUUGGGACACAGUACCAAUGUAUUUGUAUUUUGAUUCAUUGGUGAACACAAAAAACAGAACUUGCUAAACCCCGUGUUAAUUACUGAAAAGCUUAUGAAAGUAAAGUAUUGACCAAAGGACACUACAAAUAUGGUGUGUUAUAAACUCCAGUGUGAACUGAUUUGUGCAGAAAUCACGCGCAACUGGUUUUUGUGUAACCCUGGAUGUUUUCUAUAUAAGAUUUUAUAUAUACAACAAGGCUGCCUGUCUUUUAUUUAACUUAAAGAGCUGUGGGUUUUUGCUUUCUGAAGGCUUUGUGACUCUUUAGAUAGAAGAUCAAGGAAACCAGUAUUGAUCCAGUAUUGCCAUUCCUACAAGCUGAGCAGCUGCUGGGGUCCUUUUUGACAUUUAAGGUUCGUACCCUACGGUAAGAGUGAUCAGAUGCUGUAGCCUUGUGGAAACCCUGAUUGUUUCAUACGUAUGAGAAUUUAGUGGUGAGAAUCAGUUUAAAAACUCCUUUUAAAAAAAUUUACAGGUAGUGGUUAAAUGUGAGUGAAAUCCUAGUGAGAUAAAGAAAAGACCUGGGUCUGAUGAGUCAAUACUUUUUUACUCCACAAGUAAUAUAGUUUACUUCAGAUGGGCUAUUAGUCAUUGAACAAACGUUGGACCAAAACUAUUUGUGUAAUGUUCUUUCCAAAAUGCUGUUACCAAGCCAAGCAGCAUGCUGUGUUCCUGUGACUGGUAUAAUUGUCUGAAAAAGAGAGCAUCCAUCAGUUUAUACAAAACAAUAAAAGAAUUUACCACACUGCUGGUUCCUAAUCUCUGAACAAAACAGUGAAAUAUGAUUUAAAACAUUCGUCUGCAUAAAUAGCAAGUGUGUGAAAAAUACAUAUACACAUUUUUAUACUCAUGGGGUUCAUUUAUAUACGGAGCUUGAGAUUACCAGCUUCGGGAAGAGUUGUGAGGGAGGGUGUAACACGUUUUCAAAUUACUCCAUCUUGCUUUGCGGCUGUCUUUUAUAUUUGUGUUCUCCUUCCAGACGGCAGAACGAGUAAAUAGACUUGAAUUCCAGGAAGAAAGGACCAACUUCCAGAUGCAGAAGGGACAGCAAAGCAGUACAGCAGCUGACCUGGGGAGGUUGUGCAGUGUCCGCCAAGAGACUUGCAGUGUCAGAUUAAAGCUCUGCAGGAACCCCACAGGUAGAGUGGAGCCUGCCUUGAGGAGGAGGAAUGGAUUAAUGAACUUUAGAGGACCUCUCCAGCCCAAUGACUCCAUGAAUGGUUGUAGGGCAUAAGGAAGAGGCAUGCAGCAUUAAUUGACUGGAGUCAUUUUUCCCCCUUUGUCCCGUCCUUCAACUGAAUCACUCACUAGUUUUAUCUUUUUAUCUCUUUCAUAAAGAUUAAAUACUUUUUUUGGCUUGUCUCCAUAGCUAAUAUAUUUUGUCUGAUCUUGGGAAGUAUGGGGUUUUUAAGCUGAAUGAAAGCACAUAAAUCUAUUAAUAAAC